rnacentral:rRNA from 1 species
GACGAACGCUGGCGGCGUGCUUAACACAUGCAAGUCGAACGGUGAAGCGCCUUCCUUUUUGGUGGGUGUGGAUGAGUGGCGAACGGGUGAGUAACACGUGAGUAACCUGCCCCCUUCUUCUGGAUAACCGCAUGAAAGUGUGGCUAAUACGGGAUAUUCUGGGUCUGUCGCAUGAUGGGUCUGGGAAAGAUAUUGUUUCGGUGGGGGAUGGGCUCGCGGCCUAUCAGCUUGUUGGUGGGGUGAUGGCCUACCAAGGCGGUGACGGGUAGCCGGCCUGAGAGGGUGGACGGUCACACUGGGACUGAGACACGGACCAGACUCCUACGGGAGGCAGCAGUGGGGAAUAUUGCACAAUGGGCGCAAGCCUGAUGCAGCGACGCCGCGUGAGGGAUGGAGGCCUUCGGGUUGUGAACCUCUUUCGCCAGUGAAGCAGGCCUGCAGCGUGUGUGGGUGGGUUGACGGUAGCUGGAUAAGAAGCGCCGGCUAACUACGUG